GACGAACGCUGGCGGCGUGCUUAACACAUGCAAGUCGAACGGAAAGGCCCUGCUUUUGUGGGGUGCUCGAGUGGCGAACGGGUGAGUAACACGUGAGUAACCUGCCCUUGACUUUGUGAUAACUUCAGGAAACUGGGGCUAAUACCGGAUAGGAGCUCCUGCUGCAUGGUGGGGGUUGGAAAGUUUGGGCGGUUGGGGAUGGAGUCGCGGCUUAUGAGCUUGUUGGUGGGGUAGUGGCUUACGAAGGAUUGGACGGGUAGCCGGCCUGGGAGGGUGACCGGGCACAGUGGGACUGGGGAGGGGGCAGGGGGCAUUCGGGAGGCAGGAGUGGAGGAUAGUGCAAGACAGGCGGAGGGUGGGAGGAACGACGCCGGGUGCGGAAGGACGGCCUGCGGGGUGUAAGCCGAUUUAGCUUGUAACGAGGUGUGAGUGACGGUAAUGGGUAAAGAGGCACGGCCUAACUAGGG
rnacentral:rRNA from 1 species